rnacentral:lncRNA from 1 species
GUGUGUUUGGCCUUUAAUUUUUUUUUUUUUCAUUUGACAAAGGACUUUCCGUUUUGGAUUUUACUUCAAGUUCAAUAUUUUUUAUGUUUUUACUUUUUGCUUAUUCUCACGUUUGUGGUUUCUGAUGUCUUAUUAGUUGACUCAUUAGUUAUUUUAGUAUUUUCUAAUGUUUGUUGUUUUUACUUUUAUCCAAUCCCUCUAACUCGGUAUAGACAAUACUUAUGUUCAAAUGUGUUCAUUAACGGUUGGUAAAUAUUUAAAACU